rnacentral:lncRNA from 1 species
UGAGGUGGACUCCCUAAGAUGGCCGUAAGGGCCUCUGUCCUAUCUGAGGGGUGUGUGGGAAAGAUCCCCUCUCUGGAGAGAUGGAGGACUCGAGCAAUGAAGUCCUCGAAAAUGAAAACUGGGGCACCCGCUACAGUCCCCUGGAUACCGCCGCUACCCCGUGCGACAGUACCGUAAAAUUUCCUAACUAACCCUGGAUAGGUAGGGAGGUCAAGAGAACAAAAGAACUCUAAGCCCUGGGCCCUAAGGUGAUGCCCUAGGUUGAACCCUUCCCGGGAGAGGAAGUCAAAGUUGACUUGCCUCCCGGUAGAGACAACCUU